ensembl:lncRNA LINC00702 long intergenic non-protein coding RNA 702
AGUAUGAGAAAGUUCUGAUCUUGACAGUUCACGUAACAUUCAAUCAAUUAUACCAUUGCUCUAUCUCUAAAGUUUUCUUUUUCUCCUUUUCUCAGUGUCUUACCAAGAAUGAAAGGCAACCUAUGUAAAAACUAUGGGCUUUCUAGUAUAAAUAAAAACUACUCAUCUCCAGAAAAUAAACAAUGACUGCUAAGAUGAUUGAAAAAAGAAAGGAGAAGAAAGUAGCUUGUAAAAGCGUGUGAAAUGCAUUCACGUUGGAAUCUCCUACAGGCACUUCAGAAGACGAAGUGCUCCUGAUGGCUGCUUUCAAUCACUGGAAGAACCAUGAAAGUGCGAGAGAUUCCUCCCGGUGAAUGAAGCCAGCUCACCACCGUCAAGGGCAAGGGAUCAGCGUGUGUUCACAUGGAGGCCUCUCACCGAGGGAACCCAAGGGGGACAGCACAGGAAUUGCAGAGCCAGCACCCAUGGAAUGGGCAGGGAUUUGGGUUUCAUCCAACCAGCCAGUUGAUCAAUAAUCACUGAAUGUCUGUCACCCAUUGCAUCCUCUCCUGAGUAGUGAGGCUAGGCCAGUGCCAGUCACCUGGAAAUCCUUACUGUUCUGCAGUUGACAUUUUGAGAGGCAAGUCAAACAAUAUAUAUAAACAACUAGAAUGUCUAGUGUGUUUCAGGAGGUAAAUGCCGUGCCGGGAUGAGCAGAAGGAGGAUGGAGCCGUUGCUGGGCAGAUAGACUGAUUUUAGAUAAAGCCGUCUGGGUGCAGGAAAGAAGACCUUAAAGAGGGAAUGACAUUUGAGCAAAGUCUUCAACAAACUGAACCCAGGAAGAAAACAUUCCGAAAGUCAGAGAAAAGAGGAAGUACGAAGGGCCAGAGCCAGGGAGGACAUUGGCGGAGAUGCAGCCGCAGAAGCGUCAGGGGCCCUGCAGCCGCGAUGCAAACAGAGAAGUGGGCGCAUGGAGCAUACGGGGCAGAGAACCAGCACCAUCUGAAUACACUGCUUAGGCUGUUGGGGCCAUGGCUUCUCUCGAUACCAAAUAGGAGGCUGUGGACAUCAUCUUGGCAGGAAACGACAGUGGCUAGGACCACAGUAGUCACCGUAGAGAUGGAGAGAAGUGGCCAGAUCAUAGAUACAUUUUGAAGAUUAAGCGGACAGAAUUUGCUAUGGAUUAGAUGUGGGUGAAACAGAGAGAGAGAGAGAGGAUAGCUCCAACAUGUGCUGUCUGAGCAGCUAAAGGGGUGGAGCAGGAUGAAUAAAGUAAAGAAAAGAUUGAAAUGGAGACGAAGGGCCACUGUAAGUGAGACAUCCAGACGCAGCCCAAUACUCCCAGGGGAGCUUGCUUACGGCAGAUUCCAGUCACAAGAAGCACCAAAAAUGUCUCCUCUUUCAUUUAUACAUGACGCAAAAUCAAGAGGAUAAGCUGCUCCAAUUUGAAAGCCACACGUUCCUUUAAGGGCAGGGCUGGGCGAAUGGGUUCAACCCUGACUGCUCUCCACCGUCCAUGCAGGACCACAGCCUAGGGUGAAGGGGGCCCUUCUCUGGGUGUUGCUGGGAGGGAGAAAUAUUCCUGAGAUGAGCUUAAGACACAGCACUUCUCCCCUGUGGUGUGAGAGCCACUGUGCCUACAAGGACACUCACAGAAGCUGUCAUUUGGGAUUCGCUGCCAAGAGCAGAGCACGGCUGUUGAUGCGUCGAAACUGAAAAGCCUUCUUCAGCUGGGUGGGCAAGACGGCUGUCUAUGGAGACCCUCCUGAGUACAGAUGCACCUGCUUUUAGCCUCACAUAGACGGGGGCUCUUUAGGACUGUGGGCUGACCCUGAGAAGAAGCCCCAUGGAAGCCUGCUUAUCUCCAAAUCCCCCGUCCUUUCUCCUGAAAGACAGUCUCAGUGAGUGAAGUUCUAGCAUUAUAGAUUUGUUCCUUUGUAAGUCUGACAGGAUUUAUGGUUUGCAAACAUUUUUUAUGAGAAUGAAAAUUACUUUGGGAAAAGU